GGGAAUAUUGCACAAUGGGCGGAAGCCUGAUGCAGCGACGCCGCGUGAGGGAUGACGGCCUUCGGGUUGUAAACCUCUUUCAGUAGGGAAGAAGCGAAAGUGACGGUACCUGCAGAAGAAGCACCGGCUAACUACGUGCCAGCAGCCGCGGUAAUACGUAGGGUGCGAGCGUUGUCCGGAAUUAUUGGGCGUAAAGAGCUCGUAGGCGGUUUGUCGCGUCGUUUGUGUAAGUCCACGGCUUAACUGUGGGAUGGCAGGCGAUACGGGCAUAACUUGAGUGCAGUAGGGGAGACUGGAAUUCCUGGUGUAGCGGUGAAAUGCGCAGAUAUCAGGAGGAACACCGAUGGCGAAGGCAGGUCUCUGGGCAGUAACUGACGCUGAGGAGCGAAAGCAUGGGGAGCGAACAGG
rnacentral:rRNA from 1 species